rnacentral:lncRNA from 1 species
UAUAUUUUUUAGAGAUAAAGGCCAAUCGAAAGGUCUGAGACGACCCAAAAAGCACUUAAUCAUGAUCACCUUUUAGGCCUACUUGGGUAUUGAGCAUUUACCUGUAAGAAUGAAUUCCUUGCAAUGGAUAAUUAAUUGCAACUCUGGAAAAAGGAAUCCAGUCAAUUUUUUAUUACAUAAUAUUACAUAAAAUCAUUCAUAUAUGUGUAGACAUGGCUAACAUUUUCCAUUUUAUAAGAUC